ACACACACACACACACACACACAGAGAGAGAGAGAGAGAGAGAGAGAGAGAGAGAGAGAGAGAGAUGUUCUGGUAUGGAGAUGCAGGGCUUGGAAAGAAUUGCUGUGUGUGUGUGUGUGUGUGUGU